rnacentral:rRNA from 1 species
CCCUUAGAGUUUGAUCAUGGCUCAGGACGAACGCUGGCGGCGGGCUUAACACAUGCAAGUCGAAGGAGAAGGUAGAAGCUUGCUUUUACUGGAGACUGGCGGACGGGUGAGUAACGCGUAGAUAACCUGCCUAUAGCUGGGGGAUAACACUGCGAAAGUGGUGCUAAUACCGCAUAAUGCAGCGGGGCCGCAUGGCCAUAGUUGUUAAAGGUUUCGACCGGCUAUAGAUGGGUCUGCGUGCUAUUAGUUAGUUGGUAGGGUAACGGCCUACCAAGGCGAUGAUAGCUAGGGGGUCUGAGAGGAUGAUCCCCCACACUGGGACUGAGACACGGCCCAGACUCCUACGGGAGGCAGCAGUGAGGAAUCUUGCGCAAUGGGCGAAAGCCUGACGCAGCCACGCCGCGUGCCGGAUGAAGGCCCUAUGGGUUGUAAACGGCUUUUACUAGGGAAGAACGAGAGGGUUUCGAUCUUCUGUGACGGUACCUAGUGAAUAAGCACCGGCUAACUCCGUGCCAGCAGCCGCGGUAAUACGGAGGGUGCAAGCGUUGUCCGGAAUCAUUGGGUGUAAAGGGUACGUAGGCGGGAGCCUAAGUCUGGGGUGAAAUCUUGCCGCUUAACGGUAAAAUGGCCCUGGAUACUGGGUUUCUUGAGUGCAGAAGAGGCAGGUGGAAUUCGUGGUGUAGCGGUGAAAUGCUUAGAUAUCACGA